UACGUAGGGUCCAAGCGUUAUCCGGAAUCACUGGGCGUAAAGCGUGCGUAGGCGGCGUGUUAAGUGUGAUGUUAAAUCGUGGGGCUCAACCCUGUCGGUGCAUCACAUACUGGCAUGCUAGAGGAAGGCAGAGGCAAGUGGAAUUUGUAGUGUAGCAGUGAAAUGCGUAGAUAUUACAAGGAACACCAAUGGCGAAGGCAGCUUGCUGGGCCUUUUCUGACGCUGAGGUACGAAAGCGCGGGGAGCGAACAGG
rnacentral:rRNA from 1 species